rnacentral:rRNA from 1 species
GAUAGGUGGGAGGCUUUGAAGUGUGGACGCCAGUCUGCAUGGAGCCGACCUUGAAAUACCACCCUUUAAUGUUUGAUGUUCUAACGUUGACCCGUAAUCCGGGUUGCGGACAGUGUCUGGUGGGUAGUUUGACUGGGGCGGUCUCCUCCUAAAGAGUAACGGAGGAGCACGAAGGUUGGCUAAUCCUGGUCGGACAUCAGGAGGUUAGUGCAAUGGCAUAAGCCAGCUUGACUGCGAGCGUGACGGCGCGAGCAGGUGCGAAAGCAGGUCAUAGUGAUCCGGUGGUUCUGAAUGGAAGGGCCAUCGCUCAACGGAUAAAAGGUACUCCGGGGAUAACAGGCUGAUACCGCCCAAGAGUUCAUAUCGACGGCGGUGUUUGGCACCUCGAUGUCGGCUCAUCACAUCCUGGGGCUGAAGUAGGUCCCAAGGGUAUGGCUGUUCGCCAUUUAAAGUGGUACGCGAGCUGGGUUUAGAACGUCGUGAGACAGUUCGGUCCCUAUCUGCCGUGGGCGCUGGAGAACUGAGGGGGGCUGCUCCUAGUACGAGAGGACCGGAGUGGACGCAUCACUGGUGUUCGGGUUGUCAUGCCAAUGGCACUGCCCGGUAGCUAAAUGCGGAAGAGAUAAGUGCUGAAAGCAUCUAAGCACGAAACUUGCCCCGAGAUGAGUUCUCCCUGACUCCUUGAGAGUCCUGAAGGAACGUUGAAGACGACGACGUUGAUAGGCCGGGUGUGUAAGCGCAGCGAUGCGUUGAGCUAACCGGUACUAAUGAACCGUGAGG